rnacentral:rRNA from 1 species
GACGAACGCUGGCGGCGUGCUUAACACAUGCAAGUCGAGCGGUAAGGCCCUUUCGGGGGUACACGAGCGGCGAACGGGUGAGUAACACGUGGGUGACCUGCCCUCAGCUCUGGGAUAAGCCUGGGAAACUGGGUCUAAUAUUGGAUAUGACUCCACGGUGCAUGUCGUGGGGUGGAAAGCCUUGUGCGGCUGAGGAUGGGCCCGCGGCCUAUCAGCUUGUUGGUGGGGUGANGGCCUACCAAGGCGACGACGGGUAGCCGGCCUGAGAGGGCGACCGGCCACACUGGGACUGAGACACGGCCCAGACUCCUACGGGAGGCAGCAGUGGGGAAUCUUGCGCAAUGGGCGAAAGCCUGACGCAGCGACGCCGCGUGAGGGAUGACGGCCUCGG